rnacentral:miRNA from 1 species
GCUAGGUGCAACAAGUUCAAU